AUGGUACUGGCGACCAGUGUGUUGGAGAAUAUGAUAAAAUCCGAGUUCCUGAAGAAUGAUUGGUGGUACUGGUCCUUCUUCACAGUAGCCAUGAAGACCUCAACUGUAUCCGUGCUCGCUCUCAGGAUCUACACUCUCGACGACUGUAUCAUGUACACAAAGGAGCCUAAUACCGUGCUGGCUACAAAGGUUGUAAACAAGGGGAGGACGAGGAAAGAGCCAGAACCAUCGGUGUCGUAA
rnacentral:rRNA from 1 species